rnacentral:tRNA from 1 species
GACCGCGUAAUUCAGUUGGCAGAGCAUUGGGCUAGUAUUCCAAAGGUUGUAGGUUCGAUUCCCACCGUGGUCA